rnacentral:rRNA from 1 species
AAUAUUGGACAAUGGGGGCAACCCUGAUCUAGCCAUGCCGUGUGUGUGAUGUAGGUCUUCGGUUUGUAUUGCUCUUUAAGUUGUGAGGAAGGGCUUUUGGUUAAUUCUCUGACUUUUUGAUGUUACGAAAUCAUCAGGCUUCGGCUCACUCUGUGCCAUCCGCCGCGGUAAUACAGAGGGUGCAAGCGUUAAUCGGAAUUACUGGGCGUAAAGCGCGCGUAGGUGGUUCAGUAAGAUGGGUGUGAAAUCGCCGGGCUUAACCUGGAAACUGCUUUCAUAACUGCUGAGCUAGAGUACGGUAGAGGGUAGUGGAAUUUCCUGUGUAGCGGUGAAAUGCGUAGAUAUAGGAAGGAACACCAGUGGCGAAGGCGACUACCUGGACUGAUACUGACACUGAGGUGCGAAAGCGUGGGGAGCAAACAG